GUGGGGAAUCUUCCGCAAUGGACGAAAGUCUGACGGAGCAACGCCGCGUGAGUGAAGAAGGUUUUCGGAUCGUAAAGCUCUUUCGUUAGGGACGAACGUGCUCUUUGUGAAUAAUGAGGAGUAAUGACGGUACCUAAAUAAGAAGUCACGGCUAACUACGUGCCAGCAGCCGCGGUAAUACGUAGGUGGCAAGCGUCGUCCGGAAUUAUUGGGCGUAAAGCGCGCGCAGGCGGGAUAUCAAGUCUGUCUUAAAAGUGCGAGGCUCAACCUCGUGAAGGUACAGAAACUGGUAUUCUUGAGUGUCGGAGAGGAAAGUGGAAUUCCAGGUGUAGCGGUGAAAUGCGUAGAGAUUUGGAAGAACACCAGUGGCGAAGGCGACUUUCUGGACGAUGUCUGACGCUGAGGCGCGAAAGCUAGGGGAGCGAACGGGAUUAGAUACCCGUGUAGUCC
rnacentral:rRNA from 1 species